AGAUCGCGCCAUUGGACUCCAGCCUGGGUAACAAGAGCGGAACCUCCGUCAGAAAAAAGAAAAAAAAAAAGAAAAAAAAAAUGUGAGAGUUGUACUCAUCCUGUCUUCAAAAUCCCAUGUGUAUUUGACACUUUACAGCACAGCUCCAUUAGAACUGACCACAUUUCCAGGGCUCCCUAGAUACCUGUGGCUAGCGGCUGCCAUAGUGCACUGCGCUGGGCAGUAGAAUGGGGGAUGACAAGACAGGGCGGCGGAGAUUGGGAUGGCGUGAAAUGAGGGAAACACUCGCCGGUGGGAGAAAGCAGAAUAGUAAGGGGGCACCGAAAGAUUCAGUAGUCCACGUGAAUAUCUUGAUUAUCUUAUAAUCGAGAUAAUGUGGGGUCCAGCUCUACCGGGUCUGUGGGUUUUCUCUUCGUGUGCGGAGACGAGAGAUCGUAGAAAUAAAGACGCAAGACAAAGAGAUAGGAAGAAAGACAGCUGGGCCCGGGAGACCACUGCCACCAAAGCGCGGAGACCGUAGUGGCCCCCAGUGCCUGGACGGCGCUGCUAUUUAUUGUAUUCAAGGCAAGGGGGCAGGGUAAGGAGUGUGAGUCAUCUCAGAUGAUUGAUUGAUAGGUCACGCGAGUCACGUGUCCACGGGACAGGGGGGCCUUUCCCUUUGUGGUAGCCGAGGUGGAGAGGGAGGACAGCAAACGUCAGCAUUUCUUCUAUGCACUUAUCAGAAAGAUCAAAGACUUUAGUCCUUUUACUAAUUCUGCCACUGCUCUCUUCUAAGAACUCAAAAGGAGGAGCCAGGUGUACAGGCGGAACGUGAAAGUGAACACGGAGCGUGACCGCUGAAGCACAGCAUCACAGGGAGACGUUUAAGCCUCCGGACGACUGCGGGCACGCCUGGCUAAUGUCAGGCCCUCCCACAAGAGGUGGUGGAGCAGAGUGUUCUCUAACUCCCCUGGAGAAACGGAGAUUCCCUUUCCCGGUGUGCUAAGUAACGGGUGCCUUCCCAGGCACUGGCGCUACCGCUACACCAAGGAGCCCUCAAGCGGCUUUUAUCUGGGCGUGACCGAGGGCUCACACUCUUGUCUUCUGGUCACCUCUCACUGUGUCCCUUCCGCUCCUAACUCUGUAUGGCCUGGUUUUUCCUAGGUUAUAAUAAGAGAACGGAGAUUAUUGUAAUCACAGAACAGAGAGUCAUACUACAAACUAAUGAUUUAACACUGUUCACAUAUAAUCAUAUCUGUAUCCUAUUUCUAGUAUCACUUUUCUUAUUCUAAUUAUUUUCUUUAUUAUACUGGAACAGCUUGUGGCUUCAGCCUCUUGCCUCGGCACCUGGCUGUCUUACCGCCCCCAUCGCCCCCCUUUUUAUUGACCAGGAUCGUCACUGCCAUCAUUGCUUGUCGUUGACUUCAGACUUGUCCUCGGACCCCUCGGAGACAUCUGCAGACUAAAAGCAGCCAACAUAAACGUACCGACGUUAAUAACGCCAAAGACAACAGUGGUCUUCUGAGGGGUUUGAUCCAUUUAAAGGGAUUUGGAUCAGAUAACCCUUUGGUUAUUCCUUCAAAGAUGUCUGAUCCAGGAAUGGUAGUUAAGUGAGCCUGCGAGUCCUCAAAAAUUUGUUCUUUAAGUUUUGAGAUACCUAACGUUAGGUUAUCAUCCCAGGCUUUUAAAUUUAAGUCUCAUGACUUUUUCCAGCUAUGCUGAUCUUUAUUAUAAGCAUAAGGCCUUAUGUAAUAAUCAGAAGUAUUCCAAUCACAUUGUAAUUGCAUACGGUGUUCCAAAUUCAUAACUCUAUCUCCCAGCCAUAUCAUACUCUGGCGGAGAUCAUUAAUUUGAUUAGCCAAUUUUUGAUCAGCCUGAGCCUGAGAAUUCCGGAGUCUAGUGGAGUUUUUCUGCCAUGCUUCCACAUAUUGAGCGGUCUGGACAGAAUUGUGGAUAGCAAGUCCAGCGGCCGCUGCUGUGGCAGUAACCGCAAUUAAUCCCGCAAUGACUGCAGUAAGAGUAAAGAGGAACCUCUUAGUUGUCUGAAGGGUACGUCUAAGAACUUCAUUGACUAUGUGAAUAGAGGGAGAAGACUCCCAUGGACGGUGUAAGGAAACUGGUAUCCAUACGCCCUCCCUAGCCCUCACCAGGAGAAUACUUGUUCUGGGAUCAAAAGGGGCAUCAAUACAUGUGAUGAGUUUGCAGUCAUCACAUUCUAUAGUUUGUCUAUUGGGAGUGACAUUUAUAAUUCCAACUAACAGCAUAUAAGGGGGUUAUCCCUUGUAGGCUCCUGAUAGGUAUUACCUGUUCUGACAUUACAGUGACUUUAAACAUGGGUGUUUUGGUAUUGGUGGGAGAGAUUUGGUAGGUAGCGUCCCAUAGUCUGAUUCCGGUCGUGGCCGCAGCUAAUUUCCGUAAUCGAGGAUGUUCUGGGGCAACAAUAGGAUGAAUCGUUUUUGGUCUAGGAGGAACGAUUCCUGAGUCCAUCCAUUUGAAUGGGUAAGGAGACACCCAUUCCCUCAACCUGCAGGACUGCCAUCCGUCUCGUACGCGAUGUAUCAAAUAAUUGAACUCAGAGCAUUGGGUAUUUUGGCCGGAGUAGUUCCGCCAAUAAUACCCUCUUGGAGCCCAGUCAAUAACAGCUCCUGUAACUAGGCUCCGUAACACUACGUACGGCUUUUGGAGCAUUACAGUCAUUCCAUAUGAUUGAGUUCCCUAAACAAGUUCCCUCGGUAGGUUCUCUUGAACAGUCUGGCAGUCCUUUUGUUGUAUUAUUUUUGGUGGUGACGGGAACUCUCCAUUCCUCAUGAGGAUUAAGUUCAACAGCCAUGAUCUGAAAAGAAUUACUACUGAACACAUGAUGUACUUCAUAAGAAUCAUUACUAGAGGAUGGUACGGUCCACAUCCAAUUUUGAUUAGAGAAAGCCAAGCAGCCAGGUGACAUUGCUAUGCACAAUGGCGGGAAUUUAUAUCCAAUUGACAAAUUAAACUGCAUACCCUUUUCCUCUGGUUGAGCGGGAAACCUGUCAUCGUUAGGGACUGGUAUAAGUGCGCUAUUACUAGUAUACAGGCAGCAUUUGCGAAGCUGUUGAAUGACCUCAUCAUUUAGUAUAGUUUGAUUUGUAGUUGCAGGCCAUUGUCCCCUUCCCAAUAACUGGUCAGCUGCAACAUUAACAGGAGGAUUAGAGCCUUGAUUAAGCUGAACUCGAUCCUGGACAGCAUCGACCCACCAAGUCCCGAAUUGUAAAUAUUGGGAUUUAGAUAAUACCGAUUUUGCUAGAAUUUACCAAUCAUAAGGCACCAAACUGCUGUUUAUCUUCUGCGAGGGCUUUUAAUGUGGACCGGACAAAAGGGGAGUUGGUGCCGUAUUGCUUCACUGAUUCUUUGAAAUCUUUGAGGAAUUUAGAAGAAAAACUUUCGCAAGAAGCAGGGCGUAGCUGGACCUGGCCUGGAUGAAGAGGAUCUGGUUGGACUACUGCCCGGACUGCAGGUAUACCUGGAACUGGCUGCGCCGCAGGCAGUUGUGGAGCCUGGUGAUUUGCCUGAGGAGCCUGACUGUCAGGCUGCGGAGCUUGAGGAGCCUGAGGAGCCGCGGGCUCAGCCACCUGCUGGGCAGGAUCAGCGGGCUGUGGCUGAUCCUGUGCCUCAGGGACGGGGGCGGCAGGCAUCGGAGGUUGUAAAAUUACAGGAAAUUGCCAGGCUUCGGGAUCCCCGUAUUCCCUUGCCUGAGAGAUGGCCCUCAUAAGAGGAGUAUCAUUUUAAGGAAUGUAUGUGAUUUGUUGCUCGUGAGCGGCCAUGGUGGUGGCGGCAACCGCAGUGGUGACCGGACCAGAAGCAGAAAAGAAAUGAGGGUUUUGAAUAGAGGAAGAAUUGAGAACCUGUAAGCCAGGUGGAGGCGCGAGUACCUGCUGAGCAGGUCUUUCAGGGGCCUGAAGACCAGGCUGCCGGCGGUAACUGCAGGACAGGCUUCAAGCGAGCCUGAUACUCCGAAGGAGAAGCAGAAGUGAGAGAUGGAUAACCGGGUUGAGUAGGGAUAGGGUUGAGGGCCUCGUUACCGGGCCGAAGGGGCGGAAGGUGGAGAGGCCUGCGGCAGGUGGAGAGGCCUGCGGCAGGGCUGAACAGAGACAGUGUUGAGAGCCUCAUUCGCGGGCUGAGAAUUGAGAGCCUCCGUACCAGGCUGCAUAGAAACGUAGUUCAGAGCCUCUUUUUCAGGCUGUAUAGCCUCAUUUCCGGGCUGUGUAGAUGGAAGGUGGGGGGCCCUGUAGCAGGGCUGAGGAAAGAUAGGAGGGUCCGGCCACGACGACGGCUGUGGAUAGUAUAUUUCGGUUGGAUUCUGCUGGUUGGGGGCGAGGACAUCAUUUGAAAGUUCAUCGUAAAGUGAUGAUGGGGGCACGGCAGGCUCUGGUGUGGGCGGCGGGGCCCAAGGAAUGUCAGAAUGGAGGUCCGUCUGUAGAAUCACGGCCUCAAUCUGUGCAGUAUCCUCAGGGGAAAGAGAACUGAGAAUUUCCUCAACCUCCUCAGAGGAGAGGAAAGAGGGAUCAGCCUCCACGUUGUCCACGCGAGUCUGCAAGGAGUCUAGGACAGAGCGAACCGAAGCCCAGACUGGCCGAAUAGUGGGCGGAAUAACGUGUCCCCCUUUAUGAGCAAUUUUAAAUUGUCGGCCAAUUUCAUCCCAAUGUUUGAGUUCUAAAGUUCCCUCAGUAGCAAACCAAGGGUAAAGGAGAUCUACGACCUCGAACUGGUUUAAUUCACUUAUUAGUAGAAACUUUUACACCUCCGUCUUUAAGCAGAGUCUUUAUAACAUUUAAAUAAGCCGAGUACUUGGUACCGGCCUGUCCCAUGGUGUCCCCGGGAUACUCUGAGUGCCCAAGCUUACCGCCCAGCCUAUUGACCGCAAGCCUCAGGAAUCUGUCGUCGGUAGUCCUCCGCUGAGUUCCGCGCUCAAAGUGCACCUUCACACAGCGAGAGAGAAAUCCUCGUUGGGUGCCAGAUGUAGGGUCCAGCCCUACGGGGCCUGUGGGUUUUCUCUUCGUGUGCGGAGACGAGAGAUCGUAGAAAUAAAGACACAAGACACAGAGACAGGAUGAAAGACAGCUGGGCCCGGGGGACCACUGCCACCAAGCGCGGAGACCGGUAGUGGCCCCGAAUGCCUGGACGGGCUGCUCUUUAUUGUAUUCGAGGCAAGGGGGCAGGGUAAGGGGUGUGAGUCAUCUCAAAUGAUUGAGAGGUCACGCGAGUCACGUGUCCACUGGACAGGGGGUCUUUCCCUUUGUGACAGCCGAGGCGGAGAGGGAGGACGGCAUAGGUCAGCAUUUCUUCUACGCACUUAUCAGAAGGAUCAAAGACUUUAGUACUUUUACUAAUUCUGCUACUGCUAUCUUCUAAGAACUUAAAAGGAGGAGCCAGGUGUACAGGCGGAACGUGAAAGUGAACAAGGAGCGUGACCACUGAAUGAAGCACAGCAUCACAGGGAGACGGUCCAGCCUCCGGACGACUGAGGGCGGGCCUGGCUAAUGUCAGGCCUCCCACAAGAGGUGCCGGAGCAGAGUGUUCUCCAUCUCCCCUGGAGAAAGGGAGAUUCCCUUUCCCGGUGUGCUAAGUAACGGGUGCCCUCCCGGGCACUGGCGUUACCGCUAGACCAAGGUCUGUUAAGUAAGGAGGGCCUUCCCAGGCACUGGCGUUACCGCUAGACCAGGAGCCCUCGAGCGGCCCUUAUCCGGGCGUGACCGAGGGCUCACACGCUUGUCUUCUGGUCACCUCUCACCGUGUCCCUCCAGCUGCUAACUCUCUAUGGCCCGGUUUUCCCUAGGUUAAAACAACAGAACAGAGAUUCUUACAGUAGUAGAACAAAGAGUAAUGCUGCAAACUAAUGAUUAGUAAUAGUCAUAUAUAAUCAUAUCUGUAUCCUAUUUCUGGUAUAACUUUUCUUAUUCUGAUUAUUUUCUUUAUUAUACUGUAACAGCUUGUGCCUUCAGUCUCUUGCCUCGGCCCCUGGGUGGCUUGCCGCCCACAAGGUAAGAUAUAUUGCAUUGAACUAUAGUUUGUGUUGAUUGCCGAAGGGUUUGGGGCGGGGGGGGGCACCCCCUGAAAUUCCGCCCUGGAGGAGUGGCCUCACCCUAACCCCGGCCGUGCCUAAUGAUAAGGCCCACCUCUGACGGCCUUCGGCCGUCGAGUGAAAUAAAUGUUGGAGGUAAUGCGCCUAAAGCCCUCAGCCCUCAGCUCUCCGCCGAAGUUGGGUUAGGAAGGAGGAAGGGAGAGGUAAAUGCUGACCCCGCAGGCGGCAGUCUGUGCCUCGGAGAGAAACUUUAUCGCAACCUUGCCGGGGCCUUGACGGCCAUCCUCCCGCAAGAGCACCCCGGCAGUCACCCCUGCCCUCUGGUGUCCUGCCACCCCGAGCCCGACCUUCCCCCUUUACCCCCGCGCGGGGCCAGUAACCUCCUAACUGCGUCUUCUCUGUUUCGGGCUGUCGUGCUCAUCACGUUUGCGUCGUUUCUUCGCUCCACAAACGUUUACUGAGCGCCUUCCACACGCCAGGCACCAGACUAGCGCCGGCAAACGGGGAUAAGUACUGGGGAGGGGUCCCAGCCCUCAGUGAUGGGAUUUCAGAGGGGGAGAUAAAGGAUUGCCCAGAAGGGUGGUGAGUGGAAUAGUUGAUAUAAACAACGGGGGUGCGACGAAAUACAAAGGAGGGCUGCUAGUCACGUAUGGGGUGAGUGCCCAGGGCCCUUAAUUAAGGGAGGCUUCCUGGACGGGUGACACCCAAGCGGAGUCCUGACAACCUGCGUCAGGAGUAGCCAGGCGAGGAGGAGGUGAAAGGAAUCCACGUCCCGAGCAGAGAGGCAGCUUUCCCUGCACAGCACAGGACACGGUCCGUGCACAGAAGCCACAGGAGACGCAGGCACAGGGGCUGGGGAGAAUCCUUGCCGGGCCCUCGCCAUCCACGCGCCGCCUCCCUCUGCCGGGUGUCUGGUGUCAGCCUCCCGCCCGGCAGAGGAACUCCAGCCCCUGCUCCCGGAAGCACCUCCAGGCCUUCGGCUUCCCCGACUCCCUGAAUGGGCCCCACGUCCGGCGGGUACGAGGCCGGUCUCCCCGCCCGCUGGUGACGAAGUAAAGGCCCGGCGCCGCCCGGGCUCCUGCCCUGGGACCUCGUCUUUCUCCAGGAAAACGUGGACGGCUCUCCGCCGAGCGGUCUCUUCCACAGUCCCCUCUCGCCUUCGCCCCCAGUCUCCUUCGGUUCUGUCUUCGCGCCGGCGGGAUACAAACCAGGAAGUCGCCCCCAGCGGAGCCCCGGCUCCCCCACGCAGAGGCGGCCCCCGGGGCGGAGUCAACCUCGGAGGCCGCGCCCUCCCUGAAAGGGCGGGGCAUGUAAAUUCGAAAUGAAAGCCCGGGAACGCCGGAUCCAAGCACCGGUGUGAGGUCAUACCUUACACCCGUGCUUGGAGGUCGUAACUACAAAGGUCUUUCCUGAAGGGGAGUGUAAAUUCCUUCUGUGUCUAACAGUGCUUAUCACCCCUUGGCUAUAGUUGAGGACAAUAGCUCGAUAGCUCCGUGGAGUGAAUCAUCCUGAGGUCCUAGCCCCACCCUACAGCCAUUAAAUUAGAAUCUUUGGGACAGGGCCUAAGGCUGUUGUACUUCACAGCUUCCGGGGUAUUUCCCUGGGACCAAAAGCACCUCUUAGAAAUGUCCAGUGAAGACAGUAGUGAGCUUGGUCUGGAACAACGAAUUGUCCCCGGAAGUGAAAGUGUUCAACAGGAGGCACUCAGUAACCAGUGUGUGUAAAUGAGAGAGUAGCAAAUCCCUUGGUUUUGUCACUGACAAGAGGCCACCCAGCCCAGUGAGGAGGCUUUUCCACCCAAAUUGGAAUAUGUGCACAGCAAGUCCGACAGCUUCUGUGCUGUUCCCACUCUGCAGAACUAGAUGGACCCCACCGCCACUACUGACCGAAAAUUUAUUUUGGAAAUCGAGACUGGUGACACCACACAGGCACCGAGAAGGCGUGAAAGGUUUAUAACUCACAAAAUGAGGUGUUCUGGGAGAUCAGAGUGGCUCCCAGGCAGGUCGGAAAACGACUUGAGAGCGAGGAGACUGGAAUGGGAGCCUCUUGUCAUCUCCACUCAGAUUGUCGGGACCUAUUAAUACACUUGGCUCUAAGAGGAGGAGGGCUGUGAAGGAACGCUAAUGCCUACAGCGCCUUGGUCAUUUAGGCUGAGGUUAAGUGCGGGACUUGCACUGUCAGUUACCGUUAUUUCGCAUUACAUCAGCAAAGGAGAUCUCUAAACGCUGUCUGCUGACAAGGUGGAAUGGGAGGUUCUUUCGUUACCUCCACGCGUUUGCAUUGGAUCGUCGGGGCCUGUUAGCACACUUGUGUGUAUAUAAGUCAGCAGCGUGUACUUUGGAGAGUGUGGCUGCUUUAGAUUUCACUUGGUUUAGUCACAUGCGGUGUGACGAUCAUUGGAUUAAAGGUUACCGCACCUACAUCA